AACAUUUAAACGGCCGCGGUACCCUAACCGUGCAAAGGUAGCGUAAUCAUUUGUCUAUUAAUUGUAGACCAGUAUGAAAGGCCACAUGAGAGCCAAACUGUCUCUUGUAACCAAUCAAUUAAACUGAUCUUCUAGUACAAAAGCUAGAAUAACCAUAUAAGACCAGAAGACCCUGUGAAGCUUAAACUAACCUACUAAACAAACUAGUAGCUACUUUCGGUUGGGGCGACCUUGGAACAAAGCAAAACUUCCAAACACAAUGAGCCAUCCCUCAUAACUACUAGGCMAACAAGCCAACAUAUGACCCAGUAACACUGAUAACUGAACCAAGUUACUCCMGGGAUAACAGCGCUAUCUUCUUCMAGARCCCUUAUCAAAAAGAAGGUUUAC
rnacentral:rRNA from 1 species